UACGGAGGAUGCGAGCGUUAUCCGGAUUUAUUGGGUUUAAAGGGUGCGUAGGCGGAAUAUCAAGUCAGCGGUAAAAAUUCGGGGCUCAACCCCGUCGUGCCGUUGAAACUGUUAUUCUAGAGUAUGGGAGAGGUAGGUGGAAUUCUUGGUGUAGGGGUAAAAUCCGUAGAGAUCAAGAGGAAUACUCAUUGCGAAGGCGACCUGCUAGAACAUAACUGACGCUGAUGCGCGAAAGCGUGGGGAGCAAACAGG
rnacentral:rRNA from 1 species